rnacentral:tRNA from 1 species
GGGAUUGUGGCUCAGUGGUAGAGCGCUCGUCUAGCACGUGCGAGGCCCUGAGUUUGAUCCUCAGCACCA